GCUUCCGGCCUUUGUGGGUCACUUUUGAUGGGUUCCGGGUCCUAAAAGGGUUCGAGGCCUCCUGCCUUCGCUCCGUAGAAGGGAGUUCUCUUCUGGACCUGGGGGCCGCAGGACUGUCCAGGAAUACAUUUUCCAGGUGAGAUCUUACUUGAAACACCGGUAGUUCUAACACAGCUAAAAUGGCAUCUACUUGGGCUAUCCAGGCCCACAUGAACCAGGAUGAACCUUUGAAAGUAAAGAUACAGGAGGAGAAAUAUACCACCAAACAGGAUUGGGACCUGCAUAAAAACAACACCCAUAGCAGAGAGGUCUUCCGUCAGUACUUCAGACAGUUCUGCUACCAGGAGACAUCUGGUCCCCGUGAGGCUUUGAGCCGACUCCGAGAACUUUGCCAUCAGUGGCUGAGGCCAGAGACCCACACCAAAGAACAGAUUCUGGAGCUGCUGGUGCUGGAGCAGUUCCUGACCAUCCUACCUGAGGAGCUGCAGGCCUGGGUGCAGGAGCAGCAUCCAGAGAGUGGGGAGGAGGUGGUGACUGUGCUGGAGGAUUUAGAGAGAGAACUGGAUGAACCAGAAGAGCAGGUCUCAGCCCACACUGGGGAACAGGAAAUGUUCUUGCAGGAGAUGGUGCCUCUAGGAAAAGAAGGAGAACCCAGUAUGUCCCUCCAGUCCAUGAAAGCCCAGCCAAAGUAUGAGUCUCCAGAACCUGAAUCCCAACAGGAGCAAGUUUUAGAUGUUGAGACUGGAAAUGAGUAUGGGAAUUUAAAGCAAGAAGUUUCUGAAGAAAUGGAACCACAUGGGAAUACAUCCAGUAAAUUUGAAAAUGAUAUGUCCAAGUCUGCUAGGUGUGGAGAACCUCAUGAACCUGAAGAAAUAACAGAAGAGUCCUCUGCAUGCUCCAGAGAAGAUAAACAACCUACCUGUGAUGAAAACGGAGUAAGCCUGACUGAGAACUCUGACCAUACUGAACAUCAGAGAAUCUGUCCAGGAGAAAAAUCUUAUGGAUGUGAUGACUGUGGAAAAGCUUUUAGUCAGCACUUACACCUCAUAGAACAUCAGAGGAUCCAUACUGGAGACAGACCCUACAAAUGUGAAGAAUGUGGAAAAGCUUUCCGUGGGAGAACUGUGCUUAUUCGACACAAAAUAAUACACACUGGAGAGAAACCAUAUAAGUGUAAUGAGUGUGGCAAAGCCUUUGGCCGGUGGUCAGCUCUUAACCAACAUCAGAGACUUCACACAGGAGAAAAACACUAUCACUGUAAUGACUGUGGCAAAGCCUUUAGUCAGAAAGCAGGCCUCUUUCACCAUAUCAAGAUCCACACAAGAGACAAACCUUAUCAGUGUACUCAGUGUGAUAAAAGUUUUAGUCGGCGUUCCAUACUUACUCAGCAUCAAGGAGUUCAUACUGGCACGAAGCCCUAUGAGUGCAACGAGUGUGGAAAAGCCUUUGUUUAUAACUCAUCCCUUGUUUCCCAUCAGGAAAUCCACCACAAAGAAAAAUGCUAUCAGUGUAAGGAAUGUGGGAAAUCCUUCAGUCAGAGUGGCCUUAUUCAGCAUCAGAGAAUUCACACUGGGGAAAAACCCUACAAAUGUGAGGUAUGUGAAAAGGCCUUUAUUCAAAGGACAAGUCUUACAGAACAUCAGCGAAUUCACACUGGAGAAAGACCCUAUAAAUGUGAUAAGUGUGGGAAGGCAUUUACUCAAAGAUCGGUCCUCACGGAACAUCAGAGAAUCCACACUGGAGAAAGGCCCUACAAGUGUGAUGAGUGUGGGAAUGCCUUCCGAGGAAUCACCAGCCUCAUUCAGCAUCAGAGAAUCCACACUGGGGAGAAGCCCUACCAAUGUGAUGAGUGUGGAAAAGCCUUCAGACAGAGGAAGAAGACCAGCUACAAGGAAAUACUUCUGAAAAAUCACUCUGAACCCCAAGCUGGAGUGAAUCUUCUCCUGAGCUCUCUCAUUCCGGAAUGGCAAUCUUGUUGCAGGAAAGAUCUCUAAUAGUGACUGAUGGUAAAGGAAGAAGGCUGUGCCUAGAACAAAGAAUCAGGCUGGCAAAGAAAUCGCAAACUUUAAAUUGUUACUCUCUGGAGAUAGCUACCUGGACUUUACAGAGCUGUCAGAAGACUUGGGAAGGUUUGCCAGCAUUGGAAAAAGCCACUUGGACUUCACAGAGCUGUCAGAAGACUUAGGAAGCUUUGCCAGUAGUUCCUGAGACCAGAAAUACAUAUUAUGAAGCAGGUGCUGGAACAGGCCCUGGCCCCUACUUGUGAAGCUGCAGAUAUAGGUAGGAUAAUAUCAUCCAGAAUGUGGAGAUGAGAUGGUGUUACUGAGAAGGAAACUAAGGACUUGGCUCCAAAACAAAAACAAGCAAAAAUCUGGAGAUGCUGAAUUUUGUUGGGGGGAAUGUCUGUAGAACUGCAACAUCAAUGCAGUAAGGGUAGUAAAAGCUUUAGUUUCUGGUGAGUCAUUACUCAGCAUCAUGGAUGGAGUCCACGAUGAAGAGAAUCUCUUCGCAAUCUCUGCAAUCAACAAGUUUUGAAAGGCUUUUGUUUAUAGUGGAACCCUCUUUUCCCCCCAGAAGAACCACCACAAGGAAAAAUGCUGUCAGCAUAAGGAAUGUGGGAAAGUUUUCAGCCACAUGGCCUUAUUUGACUUCAAAGAAUCCAAAUGAGAGAGAGACUGCAUAAAUGUGAUAACUGAGGAGGCCUUUGUUCUGCAAGGAAACCUUAUACAAACAUGUAUGAAGAAUGUAGGAAGACCUUCACCCAGAAGCCAGGACUGACUGUGCACCAGAGAAUCUGCACAAUAAACGUGAUGAAUGUGGAGAUGCUUUCUUCAGCGUUGGAGAAUUCACAGUAAAGGGAAACCCUGCCAGUGUGAUGAGUAUGGAAAAGUCUUCAGAGGUUGGAACUUGGGAAAAAUCAGUGAGUGAAUUCAUAUUAGAGAGGCUCUUAUAAAUGAGAGGAUUAUGGGAACUUGUAUAGACAGAGAUCAGACCUCAAUAAGGGAAUCUCCACAGUAUUGAAAAGUUAAUAUAAUUAGUGUAAGUGGGCAAGUUGUAUGGGGAAUGGGUAGUCUAAAUUGCUCAUUUUAGCUAGUAAAAACAUUAAAUGAAUUUCUUAGAUCAAGAAAAGGAAAUGUUAGAAGUUAUUUUCCCUUCCAGAGGGGUCUAUAUGUGUAAGCAAUCAGGACUUUUGAAAUAAGUUGCAUCUCUGGAUUUGUGAUCUGUCUCCUGGAUGAUUAUCUCUGUUUUGGGGGACAGGCAUUUUUUCUUCAUGCCUGUUCUAGUCUCAUCUCAUAUCUUUAAUUCAUUCAGCAAGUAUACACAAUAGUAUUAUCGUCUACUGUUUGUUGUAAAUAUAUAUAUAUAUAUAUAUAUAUAUAUUAUUUUCUUUAUGGUCUGAGUAGGCUUGUAUUGGUACCCUAGGACACAAAAAUCACAUAUAUCCUGUUUCAGUAAAUGUAGUGAAAGGAACUACAUUAUUAAAUUGCUGGGCAUUUCUAUAAAUUUGGGACUACCUUUAUAUUCUCCAACACAAGACCAUGUAGGUGUCCGUUCAGAGAGUAUAUUUUUCCAGCUUUGGCUUCUUUAUUUUCUUUCUUUCUUUAUUUUUUUGAGAUGGAGUCUUGCUCUUGUUGCCCAGGCUGGAGUGCAAUGGCACGAUCUUGGCUCACUGCAACCUCCGCCCCCUGGGUUCAAGCGAUUCUCCUGCCUCAGUCUCCCGAGUAGCUGGGAUCACAGGUGCUUGCCACCACGCCCAGCUAAUUUUUGUAUUUUUAGUAGAGACGGGGUUUCACCAUGUUGGCCAGGCUGGUCUCGAACUCCUGACCUCGUGAUCCGCCCACCUUGGCCUCCCAAAGUGCUGGGAUUAUAGGCAUAAGCCACUGUGCCCAGCUGUUUUGUUAAGAUAGAAAAAUAUACUUCACAUGUAGCGUAUUGACAGGUAAUGACUAAUAUUUUUUCUUAUAGCUAACACAUAAUAAACAUUGUGAAGACUGAUAUGUUAAGUAACUUGCUUAUUCUUUUCAGUUCUAAAACCUAUAGGAAAGAAUCUUUAGAAGCUGUCGACAAGUUGAUAAUGUAGCCCAAUCUCUACCCAUGAUAGGAGAGUAAGGCUUACAUAUUUUAUAGUAGGGCACUAAAUACAGGAACCGUGUAUUUAAAAACUUUUUAGUGAUUUUCUCAGAAUUCUAGGUUUCUCUCUGCUGUACAUCCCUAAAUCUUUUGCAUAGGUAUUAAUACAUUCAUUAUUUUUAAAGAUGGACUGCAUUCUGUAAAAGGCUUUUCCAGUAUCUGCAAAUCACACAGUUUUUUUUAACUCUAUUACUAUUAUAUAAAAUGAUUUCUUAAUAUUGAACCAACCUUGCAUUCCUAGAAUAAACCUCACUUAGCCAUGAUAUGUUAUUUUCUUAAUGUAUUAAUGGGUUUACUUGUUAAUAUUUUACUUAGUACAUUUCCUUCAAUAUUCGUGUAAAAUUGGUCCAUAAUUUUUAUACUAUAUUUUUCAGGUUUAGAUUUCACUCUUUUACUUGCUUCAUAAAAAUAAUUUAAGUCUGUGUUCAUUUUUAAUGAUCUAGAACAAUUUAUGAAGCAUCGGAACUAGCCAGUCUUUGAAGGAUAGAUUCUCAUGUGAAACCUUCUGGGUCAUAUGCUUUUUUGUGGAAUAAUUUCUUGGUAACUUCCUCUAUUCUAUGAAAAUUAUCUAUUCAGGCUUUCUAUUUAUAAUGGGUUCCAUUUUGGUAAUCUUUAUUUGCCUUGGAAAUUAUCCAUUUCAUCAAAACUUUCAAAUUUAUUUGCCUAGAAUAUGCAAUGUAACCUAAUGACUUUUAAAACAAAUUUUAUUUUUUUAGAAACAGGGUCUUGUUCUUUUACCCAGGCUGGAGUGCAAUGGUGCAAUCAUAGCACACUGCAGCCUUGAACUCCUGGGCUCAAGGAAUCCUUCACCUCAGUCUCCCAAGUAGCUGGGACUACAGGCACACACCACCACACCCAGCUAAUUUUUUUGUUUGUUUUUGUAGAAACAGGGUCUCCCUUUGUUGUUCACACUGGUCCUAAACUCCUGGCCUCAAGUGAUUCUGCUGCCUCAGCCUUCCAAAGUGCUGCGAUUACAGGCAUGAGCUACCAUAUCUGGCUUCCUUAUGACUUUUUAAACAGCUUUAUGGAAGGAAAUUGAUAUGUAGUGAACUGCAUAAGUGUACAGCUUGAUAAGUUCUAACACGUUUACACCUGUGAAACAGUCACUACCAUCAAUAUGUCACCCAAAAAAGCUUCCUCAUGUCCCAUGAUAAUUCCUCCCACCCUUACCUGCACUCUUCCCCCGUCUCCAGGCAACCUCUGUUCUGCCUUCUAUUGCUAAUUUAGUUUGCAUUUUCUGGAAUUUUAUAUCAAUGGACUCAUAGAGAAUGUUCUGUUUCAGGUGUGGGGUCUUGCUUCUUUUAUUCAGCAUAAUGAUUUCAACAUUCAUCCAUGUUGUUGGAUGUAUAAAUAAUAUAUAUAUAUUUUUUGAGAUGGAGUCUCACUCUGUUGCCAGGCUGGAGUGCAGUGGCAUAACCUUGGCUCACUGCAACCUCUGCCUCCCAGGUUCGAGCAAUUCUCCUGCCUCAGCAUCCCAAGUAGCUGGGACUAUAGGCGCGUGCCACCACGCCCAGUUAAUUUUUGUAUUUUUAGUAGAAAAGGGGUUUCACUAUAUUGGCCAGGAUGGUCUCGAUCUCUUGACCUCAUGAUCUGCCCGCCUUGGCCUCCCAAAGUGCUGGGAAUACAGGCGUGAGCCACCGCACCCGGUCUGCUUUUGGAAUAAUUUUAUCAGCUAUGCACCAGGUCUCUUGCCAAAUAUUUGCACUACAGAAGUGUGAAAUAUUUACAGUUUAUUGGCUUGUAUUUCCUGCAUUGGUCCUUUUAUUUUCUUUUAUCAUGGGCUCCGAAUUUAUCUAUUCUUAGAAGGUUUUGCAUUCACUCUCAAUCUAAUGUAUAUAUCUUAUUCAAUCGAGUUAUUUGGUCAGCUUAUUUUGUAAUUGGAAUCGUUAUUGAACUCCUACUUUAAUGAAGGUAACACUGAAGAUUCAUAAUAGCUACUUAGUCUAAUUUUAUUUAGAUAUUCUAAUCUGUUUUUCUUUCCAGUUCAAUAUUAUACUAGUAAAAUCAUCUACAUAAUAUCUCUAUUUCCUCGAAUAUACUGAGUUUAAUUUUUUCUCAUAGGAAUUCUGUACAAGUUAGUCAUUUAAGAUAUAAACAGUCUUCAGAAAUGGUAGAAGAGUUCCCAGCCAUUUUACCACAGGACUGAUGCUCUCUUCCCCCACCCUAUUUUUGAAAUAUUGUGUCUGUUAAAAUAUAAUUAUUUAAGACUGGGCACAGUGGCUCAUGCCUGUAAUCCCAGCACUUUGGGAGGCCAUGGCAGGCGGAUCACCUGAGGUCAGGAGUUCAAGACCAGCCUGGCCAACAUGGUGAAACCCCGUCUCUACUAAAAAUACAAAAAUUAGUCGGAUGUGGUGGUGGGUGCAUGUAAUCCCAGCUACUUUGGAGGCUGAGGCAGGAGAAUCACUUGAACACAGGAGGCGGAGGUUGCAGUGAGCCAAGAUCAAGCCACUGCACUCCAGCCUGGGUGACAAGAGUAAGACUCUGUCUCAAAAAAAUAAUAAUAAAAUAAAAAAUAUAUAUAUAAUUAUUUAAUAUCUUUAACUUACUUUCCUGUUUCUUAUUAACUCUAGAAAAGCCAAGUUCAGUCACUCUCAUUAUCUGAUGUAUGUCUAUAAUAACAAUCCAUCAGCCACAUAAGCCACCCAAUCCGAAUUACCUGAUUUACUCAUUCAACAAAUAUUUACGUGUCAGGAAAUGUAGGUAUUGUUAUUAAAGUGGUAAAUAAAACAUGCAAAAUUUCUAGUUUUCACAAAGAAUCUACAUUCUAAGAGAUGUAGGCCAGUUGACCAAUGAACAAGUGAAAAAUAAUGUAUGGGCAUCCAGUUCCUGACAAGAUGGAGCAGAUACACUUCUCCCUAUUUCUCACACAAAGUACAGCUAAGACCCCUAGGCAUUAUAUGUAAAACAAACAAGACACUGCAAAAAAGGCAUUUAGGACCCUCAGGAUGCAGAGAAAGACACAGGUGAAUUCCCUUGGUAUUUGUAUUUUUAUAUUUUUGUUUCUGCCUCAUAUAUCUUCCAGUGACAGUGGAGACCGCAUGAAUUGAGUGCUAGAGAAGCCUGUAACUCAAAAGUGCUGCAGUUGAUUCUACCCAGCGAGUUACUUCAGUAAUUGGAUUUUUCAGUUAUAAAAUUUCUAUUUGCUCUUCUUUGAAAAUAUCUUCUAGUUUUUGCUGAGACUAUUUCUUUGCUGAGACCUUUUUUUCAAACAUUUAACUAAAUACUUCCUGAAGCAUUUUUAUGGUGACUGCUUUAAAAUCCUUGUCAAAUAAUUCCAUCCAACAACAGCAGAAUACAUUUUUUCUUUAAAUAUCCACAGAACAUUCACAAAGAAUGACUACAUACUGGGCCAUAAAACAAACCUAACCAAAUUUGCAAGAUUGAAAUCAUACAGAGUAUAUUCUCUGGCCACAAUGGAACCAAACUAAAAAUAAUAGACAACAGGAGAAUCUCCAAACAUUUGGGACUAGACAAAACAGUUCUAAAUAAUGCCUAAGUCAAGGAAUAAGUCUCCAAGGAAAAAAUAAAUUAAACAUAGGCCUGAAUAAAAAUACAGCUUUUAAUAUGUGAGACAUAGCUAAAGAAUGCUGAAAGGGAAAGUUAGAGCUCUGACUGCUUAUGUUAGAAAAGAGGAAUAGUCUCAAAUCAAUAAUUAAGUUCCUACCUCAAGAAACUAAAAGAUCAAAGGCAAAGCAAACCUAAGGCAGCAGAAAGAAGGAAAUAACAAAGAUAACAGAAAUCAAUGAAAUUAACAGGAUAACAAUAGAGAAAAUAGUUGAAGCAAGAAAACCUGUUAAAGUUUAUAUCAUAGAAGCAGAGAGCAGAACAGCAGGUUGCCAGAAACUGGAGAGGGGAGGAUGGGGAGAGGCUGGUCAACAGGUACGAAGUUACAAUUAGAUAGGAGGAAUAAACUCUGGGGUUCUAUUGCACAGUAGGGUGACUGUGGUUAACAGUAAAAUACUGUAUAUUAUAAAAUAGCAAGAAGAGAGGCUUUUGAGUAUUCUUACCACAGAGAAGUGAUAAAUGCAUGAAACGAUGGAUACACUACACUGAUUGGAUCAUAAUACAACAUAGAUAUUUAUGAAAAUGUCAAAUUGUACUCCAUAAAUACGUAAAAUUACAUUGUGUCAAAUACAUAAAAAAUUUUUAAAUCGAUAAAACAGAUAAACCUCUAGCAAGACUGGCAAAGAUAAAAAGAAAGACCAAAUCACUAAUAACAGGAAUGAGAAAAGGGAUAUUAUUACAGAUCCUGCAUCGUUUGAAGGAUCAUAAAGGUAAAUUUGAAAAUUUGCACUCAUAACUUUGACAACUUAGAAGAAAUGAACCAAUUCUUCAAAAAGUCCAAUUGGCCAAGAUGAAACAGAUAGUUUGAGUAGUCUUAUAAUCAUUAAAGAAAUUGAAUUCAUAAUCUAAAAGUUUCCAAAUCAUCAGGCCCAGAUGCCUUCAUUGGAGAAUUCUACCAAACAUGCGAAGAAAAAUUAGCACCAAUUUUACAAAACAUGUUCCAGAAAGUAGAAGAGGAAAGUAUACAUUCCAACUCAUUUUAUAAGGUUAGAAUUACUCUGAUACCAUAAGCAGACAAAGGCAGCACAAAAAAGAAAACUACAAUCUAGUAUCCUUCAUGAACUUAGAUGCAAAAGUUCUCAACAAAAUAUUAGCAAAUUGAAUCUAGGUAUUUAUAAAAAGAAGUAUACACCAUGACUAAGGGGGAUUUUUUUCCAUUACAAAAGGUGGUUUCAAUAUUUAAAAAUCAGUGUAUUUCAUCACAUCAACAUAUAUAUAUAUAUAACAGAAAUAUUGUAUAACCAUACCAUUGGCACAGAAAAAGCAUUUGACAAAUCCAACACCCAUUCAUGACAGAAACUUACAGCCCACUAGAAAUAGAAACUUCCCAUUUCAUAAAGAACAUCUACAAAACAUUUACAGAUAACUUCAUACUUAACAGCAAAAGACUAUGCUUUAACCAUAACAUUGGCAUCAAGGCAAGAAUGUCCACUCUCACCACUCUUAUUCAACAUAAUACGGAAAAUAUAAGCCAAUGCAAUAGGCAAAAAAUGAUUAAAAGCAUACAGAUUGCUUGUAGAUUUCAUGUACACACAUUAAAGAAAAGACAAAUUGGAAACAAACCUGCUCCUAUUUGCAGAUUAUAUAAUUGUGUACAUAGAAUAUUCCAAAUAAUCUAUUACAAUUUUUGAAUCUAAUACAAAAUAUAGCUAGAACUAGUAAAUGAAUUCAGCAAGGUUGCAAGAUAUAAAUCAACAUGCAAAUAACAAUCCUAUUUUUAUGUACUAAUAAUGAACAUUCGGACAUUGACAUUUAAAAUGCAAAGCCAUUUGUAAUCACUCCAAAGAUAAUAUAGAAGUCUAACAAACAUGUACAGGAUCUGUAUGCUGAUAAAAUGCUGAAGAAAGAAAUCUGAAUAAAUGGAGAGACAUAUCAUGUUUGUGGAUUAGAAGAUACAACAUGGUGAAGAUAUCGAUUCUUCCUAUGUUUAUAGGUUUGACACAGUUCCUAUCAAAAUCUCAGCAAAAAUUUUUGUAGAUAUAAAUUUAUUCUAAAAUUUGCAUGGUAAGGCAAAGGACUAAUAACUAAAUUUUGAAAAAGAAUAAAGUGAGAGGAAUCACUGUACCCGAUGUCAAGGUAUACUAUAAACCUACAGUGAUCAAGAGAGUUGGAUAUUACAGGACAGACAUAUAGUUGAAUGAAACAGACUGGAGGACCUAGAAAUAGAUCCAAACAAAAACGCCUAAUUCUUGACAACGGUGCAGAAGCCACUGAAUGGUGAUAGAGCACUGAACAUCCGUAAACCAAACAACAACAACAAACUCAAAAUGGGUCAUGCGCUAAAAUAAUACCUAAAACUUGAGACCUCUUAGAAGCAUCAGAGCCUAGGACUAGGCAAAGAUUCUUAAAAUUGACAUCAAAAGCAUAAUUCAUUAAAUGAAAUGUUUAUGACUUUGUAUUUAUCAAAAUGUAAAAUUUAUGCUCUGAAAGACCCUGUUAAAAAGAUGAAAAGACCGCCGGGCGCAGUGGUUCACGCCUGUAAUCCCAGCACUUUGAGAGGCUGAGGCCGGUGGAUCACGAGGUCAGGAGAUCAAGACCAGCCUGGCCAACAUGGUGAAACCCCAUCUCUACUAAAAAUACAAAAAUUAGCUGAGCGUUGUGGCAUGUGCCUGUAGUCCCAGCUACUUGGGAUGCUGAGGCAGGAGAAUCACUUGAACCCGGGAGGCAGAGGUUGCAGUGAGCUGAGAUCGUGCCGCUAUACUCCAGCCUGGUGACAAAGUGAGACUCUGUCUCAAAAAAAAAAAAAAAUGAAAAGAAAGCUACAGACAGGGAAAAAUAUUUGCAAGCCAAGUCUUUGACAGAGGACUUGUAACUAGAAUAUAAAAAGAAUUCACCAAAUCUCAACAGUUAAACAGCAAACAAUUUAACUAGGUAUGGGCAAAAAUCAUGAAUACACAUUUUGCCGAAGAGUGUCCAACAAUGGGCAGCUACUUGCGUCAUUCACUGGGCCAUUUAUGCCCCAGUGAUUAGCGUCUUCCGGGCACCCUCACUCACAAGGUUGCUUAACUUUUUUCUCUUCAUUGCAAGUUUUCCCCAAACUCUUAUAAGCUGAAUGUAGACACUUAAAAGAAAGAAAAAAAAAACAGAUAAAAGAAGUUUUGUGCAGACAUUUAAAAGGUUACAAUAGCAACUGUCAGGAGAGCACAUAGUCUGUUGGCCGGGAGCUCGCGGAGUGCCAAGUAAUGUGGAGGAGUCCAUCAUGCAGAGUUAGCUGGAGCACCAGAGAAUCUUCUUUCCUUAAAAAACUGAGGUUGCGAUAUAGGCCAGAGAGAAAUCAAGGGAGCACAGAAAGACCUGUUCCACACUGGUAAGCACAGAUUUGCACUUUCAUUUUUAAGUGCAAAUCAUCCACUCAGUCAUAACACAUUUUUUUUUUUUUUUUGAGACAGGGUCUUGCUCUGACGCCUAGGCUGGAGUGCAGUGUCACCAUCACAGCUUGGCUCACUGCAGCCUAGACUUCUGGGCUCAAGGGAUCCUCCCACCUCAGCCUCCUGAGUAGCUGAGACCACAGGCAUGUGCCACUAUGCCCAGAUAAUUUUUUUAAUUCUUGAAAUUUUUUGUAGAGACAAGGUCUCGUUAUGUUGCCCAGGCUGGUCUCAAACUCCUUGGCUCAAGCCAUACUGCUGUCUGGGCCUUCCAAAGUGUUGGGAUUAGAGGCAUGAGCUACCAUGCCUGGCCUGCAACAAACUUUUAAUAACAACUAAGGCAUUGGGCAACUGGGUUCAAUCCUACCUAAAGUAACUUAACCGCUAAACAUUCAUCAGCAGGUGGCAUAUGAUAUUGGAUCCUGGAGAGUCUAUUCACAUCCUAUAAUCUAGCCAAUGCAGUAUAGGUAUUAAUACAAUGGGAACACUCUUACUCCUUCCUUCUUGCCCACCACUUAGGCAAGAACAUGUGCUACCAGAUCCUGAGAAGUCUCAUCAUGUGUCCUAUCCAGUCCUGUGGGAGCACAUCUGUCUUUCUUCUGAAAGGGCAUUGUAAUGUCACCAGCCCCAUGUUUGGCCCCAAUUUGUCAAGGAAAAGCUAGCAUAUAGUCAUAUGUCGCUUAAUGAAAGAGGUUAUGUUUUGAGAAAUGCAUCAUUAGACAAUUUUGUCAUUGUGUGAACAUCGUAGAGUGUACUUACACAAACUUAGGCUGUUACUCCUAGGUUACAAACCUGUAGAGCAUGUUACCAUACUGAAUUGUAACCCAAUUGUGUUUGUGUAUCUAAACAUAGAAAAGGUACAGUAAAAAUAUUAUUAUAAUC